UCGAGGGGUAUUAGUUUUCGGACUAAGAGACCGGCGCACGGGUGCGUAACGCGUAUGCAAUCUACCUUUUACAGAGGGAUAGCCCAGAGAAAUUUGGAUUAAUACCUCAUAGUAUAGCAGUUUCGCAUGAAACCACUAUUAAAGUCACAACGGUAAAAGAUGAGCAUGCGUCCCAUUAGCUAGUUGGUAAGGUAACGGCUUACCAAGGCUACGAUGGGUAGGGGUCCUGAGAGGGAGAUCCCCCACACUGGUACUGAGACACGGACCAGACUCCUACGGGAGGCAGCAGUGAGGAAUAUUGGACAAUGGGCGCAAGCCUGAUCCAGCCAUGCCGCGUGCAGGAUGACGGUCCUAUGGAUUGUAAACUGCUUUUGUACGAGAAGAAACACUCCUAUGUAUAGGAGCUUGACGGUAUCGUAAGAAUAAGGAUCGGCUAACUCCGUGCCAGCAGCCGCGGUAAUACGGAGGAUCCAAGCGUUAUCCGGAAUCAUUGGGUUUAAAGGGUCCGUAGGCGGUUUAGUAAGUCAGUGGUGAAAGCCCAUCGCUCAACGGUGGAACGGCCAUUGAUACUGCUGAACUUGAAUUAUUAGGAAGUAACUAGAAUAUGUAGUGUAGCGGUGAAAUGCUUAGAGAUUACAUGGAAUACCAAUUGCGAAGGCAGGUUACUACUAAUUGAUUGACGCUGAUGGACGAAA
rnacentral:rRNA from 1 species